rnacentral:rRNA from 1 species
CGCUGGCGGUGUGCCUAAUACAUGCAAGUCGAGCGCAGGAAAUAAACAGAACCCUUCGGGGUGAUGUUUAUGGAAUGAGCGGCGGACGGGUGAGUAACACGUGGGCAACCUGCCUGUAAGAUCGGGAUAACUCGCGGAAACGUGAGCUAAUACCGGAUAACACUUUUCAUCUCAUGGUGAGAAGAUAAAAGACGGUUUCGGCUGUCACUUACAGAUGGGCCCGCGGCGCAUUAGCUAGUUGGUGAGGUAACGGCUCACCAAGGCGACGAUGCGUAGCCGACCUGAGAGGGUGAUCGGCCACACUGGGACUGAGACACGGCCCAGACUCCUACGGGAGGCAGCAGUAGGGAAUCUUCCGCAAUGGACGAAAGUCUGACGGAGCAACGCCGCGUGAGUGAUGAAGGUUUUCGGAUCGUAAAACUCUGUUGUUAGGGAAGAACAAGUUGGGUAGUAACUGACCCAACCUUGACGGUACCUAACCAGAAAGCCACGGCUAACUACGUGCCAGCAGCCGCGGUAAUACGUAGGUGGCAAGCGUUGUCCGGAAUUAUUGGGCGUAAAGCGCUCGCAGGCGGUCUUUUAAGUCUGAUGUGAAAGCCCACGGCUUAACCGUGGAGGGUCAUUGGAAACUGGAGGACUUGAGUACAGAAGAGGAGAGUGGAAUUCCACGUGUAGCGGUGAAAUGCGUAGAGAUGUGGAGGAACACCAGUGGCGAAGGCCACUCUCUGGUCUGUAACUGACCCUGAGGAGCGAAAGCGUGGGUAGCCAACAGGAUUAAAUACCCUGGUAGUCCACCCCGUAAAC